rnacentral:rRNA from 1 species
GAAAGAGCAGCUAAUACCGCAUACGACCUGAGGGUGAAAGCGGGGGAUCGCAAGACCUCGCGCGAUUGGAGCGGCCGAUAUCAGAUUAGGUAGUUGGUGAGGUAAAGGCUCACCAAGCCGACGAUCUGUAGCUGGUCUGAGAGGACGACCAGCCACACUGGGACUGAGACACGGCCCAGACUCCUACGGGAGGCAGCAGUGGGGAAUUUUGGACAAUGGGCGCAAGCCUGAUCCAGCCAUGCCGCGUGCGGGAAGAAGGCCUUCGGGUUGUAAACCGCUUUUGUCAGGGAAGAAAAGGUUCUGGCUAAUACCUGGGACUCAUGACGGUACCUGAAGAAUAAGCACCGGCUAACUACGUGCCAGCAGCCGCGGUAAUACGUAGGGUGCAAGCGUUAAUCGGAAUUACUGGGCGUAAAGCGUGCGCAGGCGGUUAUGCAAGACAGAGGUGAAAUCCCCGGGCUCAACCUGGGAACUGCCUUUGUGACUGCAUGGCUAGAGUACGGUAGAGGGGGAUGGAAUUCCGCGUGUAGCAGUGAAAUGCGUAGAUAUGCGGAGGAACACCGAUGGCGAAGGCAAUCCCCUGGACCUGUACUGACGCUCAUGCACGAAAGCGUG